GGGGUUGGGGGAGCGCCAUGAAUAUGUGUGAUUUCAGAUUCUGUAACCCCCUCUGACAACAGCUGUCUGCGGUUUCUACCAUGGAACCCUGACAUGCUUCAUGCUCUGUGCUCUGAGGUUCCCGGGCGCCUCACAGAGGGGGAGCUGGCUGGUCACCCGAGGAUGACAUACUAUCCCUGCUGUUCGCGCAGGCAACCUCGGCUACGUGGGAAAGAAUUUUCAGAGACACCAGGCACUUACUGAUUCAGGCUCCGGGGAUGACAGAUCACCAGGUGGUGAUGCUGUGGGCUGUCUGUAUCUACAGCAAGCUAUGGAAGGUCGGAGAAGGCGCCCCCGACUGGAGUAACUGGCGAAGCUCCCUCGUGUAGGACUCGGAGGAAAGACGUGGAUUUCUCUUUAUGAAAUUAUGAAGAGAAGAGGGGAAAAGGAACAUAUCGCCAGGACACGCAGAAAUUCUCAGCAGAGCCCCAAUAUAUCCUGUGUUAGUCAGGAUAGGCUGGGCUCCACCGCAGUAACAGAUAAACCUGUGCAUUCAAGGGGCUUCAUUCAACUUUAUUUCUCAUUCAUGUCACAGUCUGGGGUGAUUUGACUGACUUUCCUUGGUGGGCUCUACGCAGGGACUCAGGGAUAAAUGCUCCUUCUAUCUUGUGUUCCUACCAUGUUGAGAGUUGAGUUAAGCUUACCCUGUGGGGUUCCUGCCUCUGCAUUCAUUUUGUCCAGCCAGUCAGCCUGCAGGGGCCUGAAGCUGACACUAGCCCCUUCACGCAAGCACAUGCCUUAGGUCGCAGCCUGCGGAGUCACAGGCACAUGUAAGUUUCUGGUAUGUCUUCUUGUGAUCAACAUUCUCCCUCCCCUCCCAGCUUCCUUAUGCCGUAUGCUCACCAAACCCUCGCUCUUUUAGUUUGAACUGAUCAAUCCAGUCUGGCCUGGGAACCCCAACACACUCUAGCUAUGCACCCUAAUAAAGGCAUGGCCCCGGGUCCUG